AGUAGCAGCUGUUAUACCCCGCACCUUCUUCAGAUCAUUUCCCACCUCAGGUGGGAAUAAUUACUGAGCUUCUUGUCGGCAGCUUUAGUUGGCUACCACUCCCACAUCACUGUGCCUACUCUGAGCAUGAGAUUGGCCCUGCUGCUCUUACUAGUCCUGCACUCAGGAUAUCAGGUUUCCUAAUGUAGGUCAAGCCUGGGUCUGAACCCUGACUCAGGUUGUGUUCCAGCUGCCAGCACAGGGCUGCUGCACCCAAGCCUUGGAGAUCCCAGCACCCUGUCCAAGGGAAGAUGCCUGGAGAGCCCAGUGCUGCUCUGCAGUGAGGCUUAAAUGGGAGAUGAGGAGGAAGCUCCCAAGUAGCCACCAGCCAUUUCUGCUUCAGUUAUACCAGGCUCUCCCUUUGUCCCGCAGCCCAGAUCUCCCACCAAAACUUCUCCUUCCUUUCUUGAAUGAAGUUACAACAUCUGCUUUCUUGUCUGUUAUAAACCAAAUAUUAACACUGCCCUCCAUAAAAGCCACAGGCGGAUGCUCUGCACUAUUGGGCAUGGAUGUUCAUGACUGCAAAUGCCCAAAGAAUAUUCUUCAGGUCUCUGUGAAGAAGCUACCCUGCUGCUAAUACCUUCACCACUGCUUGCUGUGGCAGGAAGGUCAGAAAACAAAAGCUGAGCCUCCACUGAGCAUUUUUACCAUGUGUAUCCAGCGUGUGCAUUUAUGUGUGAGGAUGGGAGCUGCAUGUGCACAGAGCAGACAGACAGAGGAGCUUUUGGCUGGAACCACGAGGUUGUGAAAUGCUCAGUGCCUUGACCUGUAACACGCGACUGUAAAUUCCUCAGCUCUUGUUAUGUUUUCCAGGGGUCACGGUCUUUAACAGUUUAUUUAGUGGAGGAGGAGGAAAGAAGCCCUUUGUAUUGUUGAGCAGCGCAUGCUAGCUUCCCUUGGCCUGGCAGCUGGUGCUGACACAGGGCUGUUCCUCAGGUGUUACUUUGAUGGAUGGUGCCCUGACGGCCAGCGAGCAGCAGGGGUGGUGGCAGCCUCCACUUACCCGCCUUUGGUUGAAGAAGAACCUGUGGAGAUUGCCCGAGUGGGAUCCAGUGCUGCCUUCACAGCGUUUUCAUUGCAUUUCAGAUGGAGGCUGAGCUUUUCUCCAGCCUAAUUGCCGAUGGCAAUGGCCUGCUGAAGUGAACUUCUGCUGUGAUGCAGAGCACGCACAACGGAAUGCUUGCGGUGACAGGUCUGCAUUAGAACCGAAUCCAGCAGCAGAUUAAGUGAGUCUGGAGUCCUAGGGCUAAAGACCUUUGCUAUCUCCAGAGGGGGGAGGAGCAGAUGCUAUUUUAUUGUGUUGUAAACUGUCUUUGCACAGCAAAGCAGCCUGACACUGUGAUCUCGGUGAAUCACUGCUCCCUGCUUCAGCCUGGGACAUUCCUACAUCCACAGUUAUUUUGGUACUCAGGGACACUAUGGUCUGAGAAUGCUGCUUUGAAUCACCCUCCUAGAGGCACCACUAGCUCUGCUUUGCCUGGUGGCAGUGCAAGUCUGAACUCAAUGUUCCUAAUGCUGGUAAAAAUAGCACUGGGAUGCUCCAGGUGUCCCUGACAGGAGCCAGGGGCUACCAGGACAGUCAGACUCCAUCUGGGACAGAGAUCAGCCCACACCUCGGUUUUAUUCUGUGGUACUGAAGUUAAGAGCAGAAAAAGAGCUUUCAGAUGGAUAGAAGUAAAGAUUUCAUGCCUUUCCACGCAAGCAUUUCUUCUUGUUACCUCAAGAAAUGUUGUUUCUUCUGCUAACAGCUUUGCAGUUACAAGGAGCUACAACAGAACCCGAAGUCAUGGCUGGCAGCACUUGGUGGUUUGUGACACCUGGACUAGGAAACACAUUGUGAGAGACUGAACUCCUUUUGGAUGUAAGGAAGCAGGAGCAUAUAUUGGGCGUAACAAGAUGUGACUCCCAACUACCUCAUGCACUAAUCCAGAUUCACACACAUCCCAGAUUUGCUGUGAAGUCCUGAUCCAGGGUUCACUGAAGAGCAGUUAUUCAAUGUACUGCUGUAGUUCUGGGACAUGAAGAUCUAUAUCAUAUGUUUUUUUUUUUACUAGUUUUGCCACAUUAGCUGGUUGGCCAGAGAGCUAAAGACAAGCAUGUUGCCUGUCAGGCUCUGACACCACUCUUGCUCAGAGAGUUUGCCAAACUGGUUAACCCAUAGAGCAAAAAAAAAAAAAAGAAAAGAAAAAAAAAGAA